UGUUGCCGUGUGACAAACAAUGGCUCGUCUGAAAUGCCUGAGUGUACCCUGCUUCGCGGCGUAUUCGGUGUGAUAAAUCUUCACCGGAGUCUGACUCUCGAGUCGCGCUUGUAUUGUUGGCUCUAUGCUUCCAACCGUCCUAACAAGACAAUCUUUGACAAUUUGACCUCAAAUCGGGUGGGACUACCCGCUGAACUUAA
rnacentral:misc_RNA from 1 species